UUCCGUUUUAUUCUCCAGAUCUGGGUGACUAUGUCUGGGGCACAUGAAACAGAGUGUGAUGAGUAAGCCUGUCUGAGAGCUGAAGACUUGCGUUAGCUCCCAGAGCCUGUUUGGUGGUGCUGACUGUCAGAGUGGUGAGAAGUGGGCAGGGCGUGUUAGGCUUGAGUUAGUUAGAAGGACACGUCCUGUAAACAUGACACAACACAACACAACACAACACAACACAAUGUUUACGAUCAAACCAUGCUAAAAUCUCUUUUGAACUCCCCUCUCGCUCUCUCUCUCUCCUCUUUCUGUCUCUCUCAAGCCCCACAUAUCUGUUGUCCGUAUCUCCCUUCCAUCUCAAUGAGUCCUCUGUGUCCUGUGUCUCUGUCUGUUUUUCAUUACUGUUUACUUUGGCCCUGCUCUGUUUCUCCUCCCCCCUUCUCUCUCCGUUUUGUCAUCCCCCUUGCACUUUUUUCUUCUCUCUCUCUCUCCAGCCUGAGGCUCAGUGGACACAGGAAAUAGUUAAGUGUUGUUGGAGUGUCUCUCAGAUAGUCUGUUGCCCCUCUGGUGCUUAUAGAAACAGUCUGGACCACACACACACACACACACACCCUUUAACACAAUCUCAUACAGAAUAUCCCUGCAAGUAAGUGAAAUAUAUAAAUCACAUCACGUUUGUAUAAGGUGUCACAAAGUGCCAAACCAGUGACAGGCAGACAGCUAACAGAAUUGUUAUCUAAAACUGAGACCGGUCAGUAAAAGGUCGGAGUGAUUAUGCCUGUUUCAUCAGCGAGCUACAACCUUGUUUCUUAUCUUUACAGUUAAUCCCUCCUCCUUCUGGACACACGUACUCUGUCUAUAUUUGGAGUAAGACACUGAUCUAAGGUCAGUUUUGCUAUGUGUAAGAACAGAGGCAGUAUUUUUCUCUGCCAAUUCAGGAAUAACUUGUAUAUUUGUAUUUCUUAAUUAUUUGUAUUUCUUCAUGAUGACAUUUUUCAGGGGGUGUUGCAGCACCCUCAGCACCCCUACUUCCCACAGCUAUGUGUAAACCUGUUAGUAGGCCUGGCCAUAUCUGUGAUAACUUAGGUCAGGAAUAACCAGGGUGAAUUUAAUGAGAAAAAUCACUCUGGAAUUUAUCACUGUAAAAUAACCAAUUAAGGCCAAUGUUGCCACGUAGCCUUCCGUAGCUACACUAUAUAUACAAAAGUAUGUGGACACCCCUUCAAAUUAGUGGAUUCGGCUAUUUCAGCCCCACCCGUUGCUGACAGGUGUAUAAAAUUGAGCACACAGCCAUGCAAUCUCCAUAGAAAAACAUUGGUAGUACAAUGGCCUUACUGAAGAGCUCAGUGACGUUUAACGUGGUACCGUCAUAGGAUGCCACUUUUCCACCAAGUCAGUUCAUCAAAUGUCUGCCCUGCUAGAGCUUCCCCGGUCAACUGUAAGCGCUGUUAUUGUGAAGUGGAAACAGAACAGGACCGCCGAGUGUUGUAGCGCGUAGCACGUAAAAAUCGUCUGUCCUUGGUUGCAACACUCACUACGAGUUCCAAACUGCACAAGAACUGUUCGCCGGGAGCUGCAUAGUGCCAACUGUAAAGUUUGGUGGAGGAGGAAUAAUGGUCUCGGGCUGUUUUUCAUGGUUCUGGCUAGGCCCUUUAGUACCAGUGAAGGGAAAUCUUAACGCUACAGCAUACAAUGACAUUCUAGACAAUUCUGUGCUUCCAACUUUGUGGCAACAGUUUGAAGAAGGCCAUUUCCUGUUUCAGCAUGACAAAGCCCCCCGUGCACAAAGCGAGAUCCAUACAGAAAUGGUUUGUUGAGAUCGGUGUGGAAGAACUUAACUGGCCGCACAGAGCCCUGACCUCAACCCCAUCAUCACCUUUGGGAUUAAUUGGAAUGCUGACUGCGAGCCAGGCCUAAUCGCCCAUAAUCAGUGCCUGACCUCACUAAUGCUUCCCAGAAGAGUGGAAGCUGUAAUGGCAGCAAAGGGGGGACCAACUCCAUUUUAAUGCCCAUAAUUUUGGAAUGAGAUGUUCUAUGAGCAGGUGUCCACAUACUUUUGGUCAAGUAGUGUACGUGUAUACCAGGGGCGCAUCUCUAGCAUAAAUAUUGUUACUGUCAGAAGGUGCAAAUCAAAUCUGGUUAGCUGAAACUGGUGCCACCUUUAAAAUGUAUGUCAAAUUAUCUUUAAGGGUUUGUUAGAGCAAUAAAACAACUAGCUUUUGACUGGCAAAAUGUUAUCUUAAUGGGUCCUAAUGGGAGGACCCAUGGAAAUAGAAUCUAGUCUAUAUUAUAUU
rnacentral:lncRNA from 1 species